rnacentral:rRNA from 1 species
AGAUUGAACGCUGGCGGCAUGCCUAACACAUGCAAGUCGAGCGGCAGCGCGGGGGCGACCCUGGCGGCGAGCGGCGGACGGGUGAGUAAGGCAUCGGAAUCUGCCCUGAUGUGGGGGAUAACGUAGGGAAACUUACGCUAAUACCGCAUACGACCGAGAGGUGAAAGCGGGGGACCGAAAGGCCUCGCGCAGCAGGAUGAGCCGAUGUCCGAUUAGCUAGUUGGUGGGGUAACGGCCUACCAAGGCGACGAUCGGUAGCUGGUCUGAGAGGACGACCAGCCACACUGGGACUGAGACACGGCCCAGACUCCUACGGGAGGCAGC